rnacentral:lncRNA from 1 species
CCUGGUCCUGCCCCGCCCCUCCCGGGCUGUCCAUCACCACCCCUCCGGCCCCCGCCGGAAAGAGGACCUGGAGGAAAAGACCCCUCAGGCUCCGGCCGCAGCUCCACCCGCAGGGGCCGUGGGAAGCGGGCGCUCCGGGGAGGAUGCCGCGCCCAGUAGGGGUCGACCCGAAGAGGGGGUCCCCUCCGGGGGGGGACCUGCCCGGGGCUGGGCGAGGGUAUGAGUUCCCGGCUCCCCCACAUCCAUCACCCUCAGGCCACGCUGAGCUUCCUGGACGCGGAAGCCUAGGCCCCAGCACCGCUGCACCUGCCGGCCGGGCACCCCACUAACGCGGCAUCCCGAGAAGGGCCGACUUCCAGGACGACGCAGCUGCGUGCACACAGCCCCCCUUGGCCCGGUGCGGCGGCCCGCAGGGGAGAACGAGCUUGCAGGGUGCGGGUGCGGGCCGCUGGGGCCGAUCUGGCGUCGCAGAACCCGGGGUCCACACCGUCCAGGCUGCGGCCGCGACGACCCCCUGCCAGGCGCCGGUCUCCUCCGGGAGGGCUCCAGCCCGCGCCACCUCCAGGCACAGGGCGCCCUCGUAACUCCCAAUGAAAGUCCUGCGGGAAACGGUUCCCGACCUCGCCAGGCUGGGGGCAGAAGCGACGGGAUGACGCGGAUUGUAAUCGGAAGGUAGAAGCAACCCAAGUGUCCACUGAUGGCUGAAUGGAGAAACACAAUGUAGUAUAGAUACAUAGUGGAAUUUAACUCAGAAUUAAAAAGGAAGGAAAUGCUGUCAUCUGCUAAAAUGUGAGAAAACCUUGAGGACAUCAUGCUAAGUGAAAUCAGCUAGUCACAAAAGGACAAAUGCUGUAUGAUUCCAACUAGAUGAGGUACCUCAUACUAUUCAUCAAGACAAAGUAGAAUGAUGGGUGCCAGGGCUGGAUGGAGAAGAGAAUGGGGAGUCAGCGUUUAAUGGGGGCAGAGUUUCAGUUCUGCAAGAUGAAGAAGUUCUGGGGAUGGCUGGUGGUGCUGGCUGCACAAGAGGGAGGAAGACGAAAGCCAGCGCAGAGUUUCCCCAGAAAACAGGAGCCAGAUGGUGCGAAUCCAACAGACUCCACGUGAAAUCAGCCACACCAAAGGUCAGGAGAUCUGUGUGGAGAGAAACUUUCAGAGAAGGCAACCAGGGCACAUCUCUGUUUUAAAACCAUCUCCUGGGCCGGGCACUGUGGCUCACGCCUGUAAUCCCAGCACUUUGGGAG